UCCAGGCCCCGGACUACUACGUGCAGGAGACCUGGAGCCGGGAGCCCUACUACGCGCGCCGGGAGCCCGAGCCCGAGCCCUUCUCGCCGCCGCUGCCCGCGGGGACCGGGGACGGGGAGCGGGAGCCGCGCCCGCCGGAGCCCAGGCCGCCCAAGAAGGCGACCAAGCCCAAGAAAGCGCCCAAGAGGGACAAGUUGGCUCCGGAGACGCGUCCACCAGGUAAAAAUAGCAACAGAAAAGGCGUGAGGACUAAGAGCUCUGAGAAGGCUGCCAGCGGUGAUCACAGCGUUCCCGUGGCCCGUGGUGAUGUCAGCAAGGGUUGCCCACCUCUUGGUCUGGAAACCUUAAAAAUCACAGACUUCCAGCUUCAUGCAUCUACUUCCAAGCGCUACGGCCUCGGGGCGCAUCGAGGGAGACUCAACAUCCAGGCAGGUAUUAAUGAAAAUGACUUUUACGAUGGGGCGUGGUGUGCAGGAAGGAAUGACCUCCAUCAGUGGAUUGAAGUGGAUGCUAGACGUCUGACCAAAUUCACUGGUGUCAUCACUCAAGGAAGGAACUCACUUUGGCUG